rnacentral:rRNA from 1 species
GAAGGUGUACUGUGAGGUAUGCUGGAGGUAUCAGAAGUGCGAAUGCUGACAUAAGUAACGAUAAAGCGGGUGAAAAGCCCGCUCGCCGGAAGACCAAGGGUUCCUGUCCAACGUUAAUCGGGGCAGGGUGAGUCGACCCCUAAGGCGAGGCCGAAAGGCGUAGUCGAUGGGAAACAGGUUAAUAUUCCUGUACUUGGUGUUACUGCGAAGGGGGGACGGAGAAGGCUAUGUUGGCCGGGCGACGGUUGUCCCGGUUUAAGCGUGUAGGCUGGUUUUCCAGGCAAAUCCGGAAAAUCAAGGCUGAGGCGUGAUGACGAGGCACUACGGUGCUGAAGCAACAAAUGCCCUGCUUCCAGGAAAAGCCUCUAAGCAUCAGGUAACAUCAAAUCGUACCCCAAACCGACACAGGUGGUCAGGUAGAGAAUACCAAGGCGCUUGAGAGAACUCGGGUGAAGGAACUAGG